CACUGACGCUAAACAAUUUUGUUCCUCAUGCGUUGUCACGUGAUAAUUUUCUUACAAAUUGGUUUGGCUGUCAUUUGGGCGGUUUGGCAAUUGGCAUUUGGCAGUAGUGCUUCAAGCUUGGUGUAAACUGUAAACGGACUUUGUUGUAAUAAGAUUUAGAUAUGUGAUUAUUAUUAAACAUAAACAGUUAUUACUUUUUGGUGUUACAUAUCUUUAUCUAAAUAAUACAAUGACGUUGAAAUUAUCUAUAAUGGAAGGUGAUCAGAUAAUAGAGAAUAUUGUGCAAGAAACAAAUACAGAUCCUGUUGAAUUAUCUCAAGCUUUAAAUGUUUUUCGUGAAAGAAUUAACACAUUAUUCACAAAUAAACUUAUAGCACAUAGCCAAAGUUCAUUCAUGAAUUCCAGUGAUGACAGUAGUGAUGAUGAAAAUACCAGCCUUAGUCCUAAGAAAAAGAAGAAAUAAAUUUAAGCUUCACUAAUAUUAUUAAGUAUGGAUAUUAUAAUUAAAACAAAUGUUAUUUA